rnacentral:lncRNA from 10 species
GACAUAACAAAGUACCUCAAAAUUAGUGGCUUAAAUCACAAAAACUGAAGGUCUCCCAGUGCUGGAGGUCAGAAGUCUGAGAUGAGGGUGUCAGCCCUGGCUGCUCCUGAGGCUGUGAGGGAGGAUGAGUCCCCGGUCUCUGGCUUCUGAGGGUGUGCCGGCAGCUUUGGUUUUCCUCGGUUUGUAGAGGCGUCACCCCAAUCUCUGCCUUCACCUCCACAUGGUGUCAUUUCUGUGUGUCUGGGUCUCUGUACAAACUUUUAUAAGACACACAUCCUAUUGGAUUAGGGCCCACAUGAAUGACCUCAUCUGAACUAAUUAUAUCUGCAAUGACCUUAUUUCCUAAUCAGAUCACAUUCUGAGAUGCUGGGGGUUAGGAUUUUAAUAUAAAGUUUUUUGUGGGGGUGGGGGAGACACAAUUUGAUCCGUGCUGAGUCCAUUUUGUGUUGCUCUGACAGAAGACCUGAGGCUGGGUCUUUAUAAAGGAAGAGGUUGAUUUGGCUCAGA